UGAGGAAUAUUGGUCAAUGGGCGCAAGCCUGAACCAGCCAUCCCGCGUGCAGGAAGACGGCCCUAUGGGUUGUAAACUGCUUUUGUAUGGGAGCAAUAAGGGUUACGAGUAGCCUGAUGAGAGUACCAUACGAAUAAGGACCGGCUAACUCCGUGCCAGCAGCCGCGGUAAUACGGAGGUUCCGAGCGUUAUCCGGAUUUAUUGGGUUUAAAGGGUGCGUAGGCGGUUUUAUAAGUCAGCGGUGAAAUUUUCCGGCUCAACCGGGAUACUGCCGUUGAUACUGUAAGGCUAGGAUAUGGUUGCUGUGGGUGGAAUGUGUGGUGUAGCGGUGAAAUGCUUAGAGAUCACACAGAAUAUCGAUUGCGAAGGCAGCUCACAAAGCCAUUAUUGACGCUGAGGCACGAAAGCGUGGGGAGCAAACA
rnacentral:rRNA from 1 species